GCAGUUUGUGCAUUCACUUAUUCUGGGUAUCAGCCAAGUUUGCAGACAAGGAGAACUGACACAGUGAUCAACCGAUGUAUCUAUGACAAAUGCACUUCAACUGUUAAUUGUAGUGGAAUCCACUAUGACCACCGGGCAGAAUUAAACAAUUUUACAUUCGAUGCAUUGAAUAAUUUUCAGAAUGAAGAAUGACGACAACAUAAAAUACCGAAAAUUUAAGGACAAUUGGGCAGACAUCUUCAGCAAGUACUGGCCCUCACCUGAUAGACCUUGACUGCUAGAUAAAUAUGGAUGGGUUAUUAUAGGGAGCAAUAAGAACACAAACAAAUAAGCCGAAAAAUGUCAAGCCCUUCAUCUCAUUCUAAGACCUAAGCAUGAGAAUUCCUCUAGCUUCACAACCUUGCAAAGAGAUGUCUUACUACCUAGUUGACUCCUUCCAGCAACCAACAGUUCCAAGCUGGAAAGCAUUCAGUAUUUUUAUUUAACUAGCUUACAGAAGGCUUAAAUUACAAAAGAUAUUCUUUCAGACCUACAGUAUAACACAACAUCAGAUCGCACAGCUACAACAACACAGAUUAGUCAGACCUGAAUCACAGAAAGAUUCACUUCCAUGGCAUGCUUGAAAUGCCCUGGGGGUUGCUGUUAUUGCAGGCUCCAGUACUCUGGUUAAGUGGACUACCAGGCCCACCUGAGGAUUCACUAAGAGUCCCACGUGAUUGUGGGCUGCUUGGUCCAGUUGUCCCUAGUGCUGGGGCAAAUUUCAUCAUUGCAGAUAAGGGUUCGAUUUGAUUUGCUGACUUUGAUUCCUUGCGACCAUCUGAAAUGAAACUUGCCACAACUACCUGAACAGGAGAUGCAGCUGUUAGAAGACCCGCUACACCACCACCUAGCACACGACCAUCUGGCCCAGAUAAAGACACACUUAAUCCCCCAGUUCUGCUCCUUUGACCCCCAUUUUCUGAUGGCAGAAAUGAGCCAGACAGUGACAAAAUUUCAAAUCGCCCCUCAUAAGUGACAGUUCCACCAGAUGUGGCCUGUUGGCGAAGAGUCACAUUGGAUAUGGCACCAUUUGCUGACAGUAUACAAACCGCCCUUGGACCAUUAUGAGAAAAUGACAUUAUUUUGGAUGAUACAUCCUAAAUAAGACAUAAAAGGACAUGUCAGCUUCUGAUUUAUAGAACACCUCAGUAACAAGUAACAUAAGCAUAGAAUAGAAUAAAAACACAAGAACACAAGCUAGGAUCAAACCAAAGAGACAACACAAGUUGGUAUUACAAUAUCAGGAGCAUAGAUGCCCCGAAGUCGUCAAGAUUGAUAUGCCAAGAUAGAAAUAAUACUUCAAAGGAAAUGGUAACAUUACCUUCUUUUCUACUAUUGGUACAUCAAUCUAACUAAUAGCUUUUGUUUGUGAAAUUUUUGGUAAACCACAAAUGCAAGAAUGAAGCAGUGUAAGUUUUGCAUAUGAGGUGUUAUGUCCACGUUAGAAUAUUAGAUGUUAGACUAUUGAGAACUAUGCACUUGUUUAACAUGUUAGAACUUAUGAAAAUAUUCUUGCAAGUCAUUUCCAUUAUUUUCUUAUUGACUAUCACAUCCCACAUUCAAAAUAAAAAGAAAUAAAUAAACCAGGUACAAUUGGUUUGAUAUGGGAAAAAACAUGAAGUGUCUAGCUUUUAAUAUUGGACGCCAAUAAUUUGCCACAUUGCUCAAGAACUAUGAAAGUGUUGCAGACACGAAUCAGUCCAGAGUCUCCAGACAAUAUACAGAUUUGUGGACAAUGCUCUCCAGACAAUAUACAGAUUUGUGGACAAUGCUCUUACACGAAAUUCCAUGACUUUCACAUCAAUGCUCUCCAGCUUUCACAGUGAUAACAUGUGGUGUAAAUCCAACCCCAGCUGAUCCUGUGUGCAGAAACCUCUGUGAGUAAAUCAUGGUACAGGGGCAAUGAAUCACAGCCCAGGAAUGACAUCAUAAGUAAAAGUUUGUAAUGCAUAAACUAGCCAAAGAGAAAAAUAUAAUAAUUUCAGGUAUUUAGGGCAUAAAAAAGAACAAAUGAAAAAAAUUACUAUUCUCUCUAAUAGAUAAAGAAAGAUGAUUAAUUUUCCUUCUUGGUUUAACUUUCAAACAAUUUUUUUUUUUCAUUAAAGAAAAUUUUUACGCAAAAUAUAUACCAAGAAACAAAAUUACAAAAGGAUUUCAGAAGUGAAACCUAUUUCAAACAAGUAAAAAUUAACUGCUUCUUUACCAAAGUAAAACAUUAGAUUUGAAAUUUGUUGCUUAAAGAAAUGAAUUUUACCAAAACAAUUAUCCAAGAAUAUGAAACGAAUAAACAGCAUAUAAAUGUUGACGAGAAAUGAAUCUAUAACUUGAUAGCCAGAAAGCCUAGUGCAUAAUAGCAAGGGCAGAUAGGUAAUUUUGCUGCACAAGAAUAUGAAGUCAGAAGGAACGCAUCUCAAGCUCCAGCAUAACCCACAUCGCUAUCCUUUUUAUUUUCUUUUUCUAUUUUGCAGAGUCAUACUUGCUUAAAACCAAAUAACCCUUUCAUCAUAUCAGCAACAACCAUCUCACUUCACGCCCCUAUCAGAAUCCACGAGGUCACAAACUAACACAAAGUAACCAAGGCCCCCAAGACCCUACAGAAAAUAUGACCAAACCACUAAAAGAAACUCGUAACAACUACAGCAGGAGAACAGGUCAAAACCUCGAAAGGCAGCCACUGUUGCCUUGAAGACAUUCCAAUCUCACCACGUGACAGGCAAAAAAAAUAUUAAUCAUGCAAAAGAUCAAUAUCAAAACAGGAUAAAAAUAUCAUAAAUCCUUUCAGAUUUUAAAGAGAAAUAACAAGAUAAAUAUUACCCAGCGCUUCCAGUUGCUGCUUCUUGCUAGAACCAGGGGGUCUGCCUCUCGCUUUCUUGGACCCAGUUGGCGAGACUGAUCCGCCCGGAGGAAGAGGACUAGUAACAGCAGCACCCGCAGAAGGAUGAGGAGAAGAGAAACCGCCUCUACUUGUCUGGGUUACAGACUGAGAUGCAGGUACAAGAGCCAAAGCCAUAGUACCAUCAGGCCCGUACUUCCUCGGCCUCCCUCGCUUCUUCUUCAAUGUCUCAGACACGCUACCCAUGUUCAUGUUGACGUUAAUCCCAUGGGGUGACACUGCAGCUCCGCCGGGUGAUCCUUCCAUACCACCACCACCGCCGGCGGCACCAGAUGAGGAAGGAGGUUGGUACGUAGGAGAGGUAGCUGUGGACACGGGUUUGUAUACGGCUGUCCCAUCAGCACCGAAGGCUAAACGCAUGUUCUGUAUGACUGGCUGUGGCGUUACCUGACCUUUCUGGAGACUCACGGCGAAGGGAUCCCUAGUGCUUGUCAUCACCCCUGUCUCCGAUCCCGACAUCGCAGCUACAGCAAUCUAACAGAAUCUUGAAGCUUCAAAGGAUAAGAUUUUCCGCUCCUGCACUACUGAGACUUGAAAGACCGAAGUCCAAACAAGCCUCAGUGACUUGGGUUUCUGGCUGACUAAAAAAAAAAAAAAAAUCAGAGACCUUCCAUUUUUCCCUAGAAAUAACAUGCAGAAUUUUACCAAACCCUAACUCGAAAACACAAGCUUUCCCCUCAAAUCUCGGAGAUAAAAUCUAGUAAACGCAAAAUCAAAACCCUAAUGACUGCAAAAGUGAAAAUUUAAUUAAAUAAAUAAAAUAAAAAUUCCUCAAAAUAUUUUUACAUAAUUGCUACAGAAUUUCAGUCAAAAUUGAAAACAAAACCAAAAAAAAAAAUUCUAAAUAAACAGGAAGAAACAAUUUCCAACAUUAAUUUUUUUUCCCAAAUUAAAAACCCAAAAAUACACA
rnacentral:misc_RNA from 1 species